rnacentral:rRNA from 1 species
GUGCCAGCCGCCGCGGUAAUACAGAGGGUGCAAGCGUUAAUCGGAAUUACUGGGCGUAACGCGAGCGUAGGUGGCUUGACAAGUCAGAUGUGAAAUCCCCGGGCUUAACCUGAGAACUGCAUCUGAUACUGUUGAGCUAGAGUAGGUGAGAGGAAGGUAGAAUUCCAGGUGUAGCGGUGAAAUGCGUAGAGAUCUGGAGGAAUACCGAUGGCGAAGGCAGCCUUCUGGCAUCAUACUGACACUGAGGCUCGAAAGCGUGGGUAGCAAACAGGAUUAGAUACCCUGGUAGUCCACGCCGUAAACGAUGUCUACUAGUCGUUGGGUCCCUUGAGGACUUAGUGACGCAGCUAACGCAAUAAGUAGACCGCCUGGGGAGUACGGCCGCAAGGCUGAAAUUCAAAGAAAUUGACGG